GACGAACGCUGGCGGCGUGCUUAACACAUGCAAGUCGAACGGAAAGGCGCUGCUGUUGUGGGGCGCUCGAGUGGCGAACGGGUGAGUAACACGUGAGUAACGUGCCCUUGACUGUGGGAUAAGUUCAGGAAACUGGGGCUAAUACCGGAUAGGAGCACCUGCUGCAUAGCGAGGGGUGGAAAGUUUCGGCGUUUGGGGAUGGACUCGCGGCUGAGCAGCUUGGUGGCGGCGUAGUGGCGUACCAAGGCCUGGACGGGUGGGCGGCCUGAGAGGGUGACCGGCCACAUUGGGACCGGGAUACGGCCCAUACCCCUACGGGAGGGAACCGUGGGGAAUAUUGCACCAUGGGCGGAAGCCUCAUGCACAGACGUCCCGUGCGCAAUAUCGGCCUUCGGGUAAUAAACAGCUUUUUCCUGUGACGAGGCGUGAAUGACGGUACCGACUGAAGAAGCACCGGCUAACUACGUG
rnacentral:rRNA from 1 species